CCCUACGGGGGAAAGCAGGGGAUCACUUGUGACCUUGCGUUAAUAGAUGAGCCUAAGUCGGAUUAGCUAGUUGGUGGGGUAAAGGCCUACCAAGGCGACGAUCUGUAGCGGGUCUGAGAGGAUGAUCCGCCACACUGGGACUGAGACACGGCCCAGACUCCUACGGGAGGCAGCAGUGGGGAAUAUUGGACAAUGGGGGGAACCCUGAUCCAGCCAUGCCGCGUGUGUGAAGAAGGCCUUAUGGUUGUAAAGCACUUUAAGUCGAGGAGGAGGCUCUUUUGGUUAAUACCCAAGAUGAGUGGACGUUACUCGCAGAAUAAGCACCGGCUAACUCUGUGCCAGCAGCCGCGGUAAUACAGAGGGUGCGAGCGUUAAUCGGAUUUACUGGGCGUAAAGCGUGCGUAGGCGGCUUUUUAAGUCGGAUGUGAAAUCCCCGAGCUUAACUUGGGAAUUGCAUUCGAUACUGGGAAGCUAGAGUAUGGGAGAGGAUGGUAGAAUUCCAGGUGUAGCGGUGAAAUGCGUAGAGAUCUGGAGGAAUACCGAUGGCGAAGGCAGCCAUCUGGCCUAAUACUGACGCUGAGGUACGAAAGCAUGGGGAGCAAACAGGAUUAGAUACCCUGGUAGUCCAUGCCGUAAACGAUGUGCUACUAGCCGUUGGGGUCUUUGAGACUUUAGUGGCGCAGCUAACGCGAUAAGUAGACCGCCUGGGGAGUACGGUCGCAAGACUAAAACUCAAAUGAAUUGACGGGGGCCCGCACAAGCGGUGGAGCAUGUGGUUUAAUUCGAUGCAACGCGAAGAACCUUACCUGGUCUUGACAUAGUAAGAACUUUCCAGAGAUGGAUUGGUGCCUUCGGGAACUUACAUACAGGUGCUGCAUGGCUGUCGUCAGCUCGUGUCGUGAGAUG
rnacentral:rRNA from 1 species